AACUAUGCUUAUUAUAUGAAUGUGUAUACAAAUUGAGUUCUUUAUCUUUUAAAAAGAUGGAUACUUUUGUGGUAGUUCUCAGUGUACAAUUUUUUUUUUUUUUUUUUUUUCCUUCUAUUGUUUUUUUUAUUUAUUUAUUUUGAAUGUGUGAUAUGUAGUAAAUUCUACCAAGGGGUAGCACUAUAUAUAUAUUUCCUGAGUAUGAAAUAGACACAAAAGUGAAAUGAAUUAAACCAUUUAGAAGUAAUUUUUACAAUAAUUGGAAAUGGAAAAGUAUAGUGCAAAAAAAUUGUAUUUUCAAAUAGAAUCUAUGACGCACACAUUAACAAAUCACACCAAUUUCACAUGAUGAAUAUAAAAUAAAACAAAAUGACUAAUAUUAGAAUGCAUGAAAAAGUCAUCUACACACCAGAAAUUGUCUACAUACAUAUUAACAAUCAAUAACACCACCCAAACACAGAUCACAACUUCAAAGUGCAAGAAUGUGAAAGAUGGAUUUAUGUAAAUGCAUCACAACAGAAAGAAAGCAGCAUGACAUGCAGGCGCCAAGAGAAGCCACGUGUAGGGUCUGAUGGGUGUGGAGACAUUGAAGCCCGCGAUGGACAGAAUAGGAAGGAUGAAGACGAAAAAGACGAAUGAAGAUGAAGGAAGAGGAGGCGUGGGAGCACCUGACACAGCCAGUUGACGCAGGAGCCGGCGAUGCCGCAUAGUCGCACGACAACGAGCGCGACUCCAACCUGGAAGUCAGCGCGGAGGUGGGGACCAGCGGAUUUAACGAGAGAGAGAGAGAGUGAGUGAGCGAGUGAGAGUGAGAGUGAGAGAGAACGAGAGUGGGCGAGAGAGGGAGGAGGGAAGAGAGCGGUGAGCGAGUGCGGCAAGGGCGAAGUGGGUGGGGCAAGGCAAAGCGGCAACAAAAAACCAAAGGCGCAACGAAAAACAAGUGAGUGAGAACUACCAGUGGAGCAUUCAGCACUCGUCUUUAGACUAGCAGCCAGGCGCAUGGCAAUGCCGGGGUGGGCUGGUUAGCGGAAGGAAGGAAGGAAGGAAGGAAGGAAGGAAAGGAGCAAACAACCAGCCAAAGCCCCCCCCUGCUCCCCCUCCCCCUCUCCUUCCCCCCGCUGGGGUUUCAUGUCCCGCCAUGGAAACUAGUGCUCAGCACCCCCAAAACGGAUGCCAAGCUGCCCCGCGCUAACUCCACGUUCCCUCAUACCUUCCCUUUCCUGAAAUCCCCAUCA
rnacentral:lncRNA from 1 species